rnacentral:rRNA from 1 species
GAUGAACGCUGGCGGCGUGCCUAAUACAUGCAAGUCGAGCGAACGGACGAGAAGCUUGCUUCUCUGAUGUUAGCGGCGGACGGGUGAGUAACACGUGGAUAACCUACCUAUAAGACUGGGAUAACUUCGGGAAACCGGAGCUAAUACCGGAUGAUAUUUUGAACCGCAUGGUUCAAAAGUGAAAGACGGUCUUGCUGUCACUUAUAGAUGGAUCCGCGCUGCAUUAGCUAGUUGGUAAGGUAACGGCUUACCAAGGCAACGAUGCAUAGCCGACCUGAGAGGGUGAUCGGCCACACUGGAACUGAGACACGGUCCAGACUCCUACGGGAGGCAGCAGUAGGGAAUCUUCCGCAAUGGGCGAAAGCCUGACGGAGCCACGCCGCGUGAGUGAUGAAGGUCUUCGGAUUGUAAAACUCUGUUAUUAGGGAAGAAAAUAUGUGUAAGUAACUGUGCACAUCUUGACGGUACCUAAUCAGAAAGCAACGGCUAACUACGUG